ensembl:lncRNA
CACCUACUUGGAGGAGGCAGGUAACACUGUUAGAAUCAUGUUCUUUGAUUUUUCCAGUGCGUUUAACACCGUGCAGCCUGCCCUUUUGAAUAGGAAGCUCCUGGACAUGCAGGUAGAGACCCCACUGGUCACCUGGAUCACUAACUAUCUUACAGGUCGACCACAAUUUGUGAGGCUGAGGAACACCGUCUCGGACACGAUAGUGAGCAGCACGGGGGCACCCCAGGGCACGGUACUGUCUCCAUUCCUGUUCACACUCUAUACAUCGGACUUCAGACACUGCUCACAGUCCUGCCACCUGCAGAAGUUCUCGGAUGACUCUGCCAUUGUGGGCUGUACCAGCAGAGGUCGGGAGGCGGAGUAUAUGAGUGUGGUGGACAGCUUUGUGGAGUGGUGCGGACAGAACCACCUGCAGCUGAAUGUCACAAAGACAAGAGAGCUGGUGGUGGACUUCAGGAAGCACCAGACACUCCCUAACCCGGUCAGCAUCAAGGGUACCAACGUGGACAUUGUGGACAGCUACAAAUACCUGGGUGUCCACAUUGACCACAAACUGGACUGGUCCACAAACGCAGAGGCAAUAUACAGGAAGGGACAGAGUCGCCUGUAUCUACUGAGGAGACUCAGGUCCUUUAACGUCUGCCAGACCAUGCUGCAGAUGUUUUACCACUCGGUGGUCUCCAGCGUCAUCUUCUACGCUGUAGUGUGCUGGGGCAGCAGGAUGAAGGCGGCCGACACCAACAGACUCAACAAGCUCAUUAGGAAGGCUGGCUCGGUGCUGGGAGUGGAGCUGGAGUCUGUGGUGGAGGUGACGGAGAGGAGGAUACUGAGGAAACUCCUCAGUAUUCGUAACAACACGUCUCACCCCCUGCACGACACACUGCUGUCCUACAGGAGCACAUUCAGCGGUAGACUGAGACUACCGAGGAGCAGCACAGAACGCCACAGGAGGUCCUUCCUGCCAGUGGCCAUCAGACUGUAUAACUCCUCCCCUUUCUGUAGGGAGAAGCGCUAGAUAAUCAUGUCAGGCAUCACUGUCUUUCCUAUAUUAUGUUUACUUAGCACCUUACAUCUCCAUAUUGUAUCCAUGUAUCAUAUAUUGUGCUCAUACCGUGUACUGUACUCUUUUUGGAUUAUAGUGACACUUAUACUCUGUACUUAACUGCAUUUAAUGUAACUUAAUACCUCUGGCACAAGAAUUUCCUUCGGGAUUAAUAAAGUUUUAUCUUAUCUUAUCUUAUCUUAUCUUAUCUUGUGACCU